GUUUCCUUCUCCCCAUCAUCUUCAAGCAUCUCCACAAACUUGAAAGUGGAGCUUGAAAUUGGAUGGUCUGUGGUGGCCGGCCAUUGCUGUUCCUGCCAGCCCAUGAUGGAUAUAAAUAGCUGCUCGCCUCCCUGUGAAAACUGACUUGGGAGGCUGAAGGAAAGGCCACCGUUGGAGGAGCAGAAGGCCUCAGGAACUCCUGAAGAGACACAUUGGUGUGGCCUUGGUGGCACCUGGCUGGACCUGCAGCUGCCCUUCAACCCCAAGGCACUGGGAGGCGUGGAGAGCAGGUUGUGGUGCCUUGGAGCUCAUCUCCAGCAGCAGCGAGUGGCUGAUAAUUGGGGAAAAAAUGUGAGAAAGCAUAUAUUGUGUGAUCCCCAAGGUUUGUGCUGCUGGUAUUUCUAAAGCUAGCAUUUAUCUGCAGGCUGUCUGCCUUGGUUGCUGCUGGUGGGUCUGUCUGCCUUGAAAUCGGU